GCUGGCGUAGCUCAGUCGGUAGAGCAUCUGAUUUGUAAUCAGAGGGUCAGGGGUUCAAAUCCCUUCGCCAGCUCCA
rnacentral:tRNA from 1 species